rnacentral:rRNA from 1 species
UACAGAGGAGCCAAGCGUUGUCCGGAUUGACUGGGCGUAAAGCGCACGCAGGCGGAUGUGCGCGUGGGGUGUGAAAUCUGGCCGCUUAACGGCCAGGCGCCAUCCCAUACGGCACGUCUGGAGGGCUGCAGAGGUCGAUGGAAUUGCCGGUGUAGUGGUGAAAUGCGUAGAGAUCGGCAGGAACACCCAGGGGGAAACCAGUGGACUGGCACGGAGCUGACGCUCAGGUGCGAAAGCGUGGGGAGCGAACCGG